UUCUACAGCCAUACCACCCUGAGCAGGCCUCAUCUCCUCUGAUCUGAGAAGCUAAGCGGAGUCAGACCAGUUCAGUACUUAGAUGGGAGACCGCGGUCCUGCAACCAAGGGUUCCACUGUGCUCC
rfam:Rattus norvegicus chromosome 12, whole genome shotgun sequence.